rnacentral:lncRNA from 1 species
CAAACUGCAUCGUUUUGUAAGCUCCCUGCUAUUUUGCAGACCUUGGUCAAAGUGCAACAUUUCACGGGGGUUCGGGACAUGAGAAACAUCCUGCCUAACCACCUGACCACUAAAGAAAGAGCCCUAUCGUAUCUUGCUGGAUAAAGGUCCAAGGAACACCACGAAGACAUCCUGCCAGAACAAGGGUCAGAACUGCCUCAUCAUGGGAACAUCUUAUCAAUAUCCUGCCAGGCAGCGAGCCAUACUGCCCAGACCCCUCCCGCCCACACCUAGAUGGGCUUUCACCAUGUUGCCCAGGCUGAUCUUGAACUCCUGGGCUCAAGUGAUCCACCUGCUUUGGCCUCCCAACAUGCUAGGACUAUAGGUAUGAGCCAUGUGCCCAGCUGGGAGAGAUACUUUGAUGCAACCGGGGACCUGGGCCUGGAAGUGGUAAGGACAUGUCCAUCCUUCAGUAUCUGGUUUUACUGGGCCUAGACUGGGGUAUGUUACACGGUAUUUUCCUUAGAGGAGGAUUUAGGGCUUCCUCUUGCAUAGGCCCCAUUCAAGGUCCUAGAAGAAGCCAUACAAAAGCAUUCACAUAGCUUUUUGUGGGUAAAAUUAUACGAAGUAAUGUAUUUCAACUGUAAUCAACUGGUUAAGACUGCUGUCUCUUUCCAUUCUGACUUGCCCUUGAGCUGGUAGGUGAUAAUGUGAGUGGCAAAGGCAUUUUGGAGAUCUGGCUGAAGAUGAGCUUACAGGCUGGGUGCGGUGGCUCACACCUGUAAUUCCAGCACUUUGGGAGGCCGAGGCAGGCGGAUCACCUGAGGUUGGGAGUUCGUGACCAGCCUUACCAACAUAGAGAAACCCUGUCUCUACUAAAAAUACAAAAUUAGCCUGGCGUGGUGGCCCAUGCCUGUAAUCCCAGCUACUGGGGAGGCUGAGGCAGGAGAAUUGCUUCUAUGAAGCUCUGUUUAAAAGCAACUACAAAAAAGUUGACCCUGUCAGAUUACAGAAAUAAAGUAUUAAGCUCACAAAAACAAAGAUCAAUAGAUGGGACUUAAUUAACCAAAAAGCUUCUGCACUGCAGAAGAAAUAAUCAGUAGAGUAAACAGACAAGCACAGAGUGGGAGAAAAUCUUCGCAAUCUACACUUCUGACAAAGGACUAAUAUCCAGAAUCUACAAGCAACUCAAACGGAUCAGCAAGAAAAAGAUAAUCUCAUCAAAAAGUGGCCUAAGGACAUGAAUAGGCAAUUCUCAAAAGAAGAUAUACAAAUGACCAAUGAACAUGAGAAAAUACUCAACAUCACUACCUGGGAAAUCCAUAUCAAAACCACAAUGUGAUACCACCUUACUCCUACAAGAAUGGUCAGAAUAAAAACAUAAAAAAAUAGAUGUUGGCAUGCAUGUGGUGAAAAGGGAACACUUUUACACUGUUGGUGGGAAUAUAAACUAGUAUAACCAAAAUGGAAAACAGUGUGGAGAUUCCUUAAAGAACUGAAAGUAGGACUACCAUUUGAUCCAGCAAUCCCACUCCUUCUAUCUACCCAGAGGAAAAGAAGUCAUUAUACAAAAAAGAUACUUGCACACCCAUGUUUAUAGCAGCACAAUUUGCAAUUGCAAAAAUAGGGAACCAGCCCAAAUGGCCAUCGAUUAAUGAGUGGAUAAAGAAAAUGUGGUAUACAUAUAUACCAUGGAAUACAACUCAGCCAUAAAAAGGAAUGAAAUCAUGGCAUUCACAGGAAACUGGAUGGAAUUGGAGACCAUUAUUGUAAGUGAAGUAACUCAGGAAUAGAAAACCAAACAUCUUAUGUUCUCACUCAUAAGUGGAAGCUAAGCUAUGGGGACGCAAAGGCAUAUGAAUGAGACAAUGAACUUUUGGGGCUCAGGGAAAAGGGUGGGAGGGGGUGAGGAAUAAAAGACUACACAUUGGGUACAAUGUACACUGCUUGGGUGCACCAAAAUCUCAGAAAUCACCACUGAAGAACUUAUUCAUGUAAAAAAAAAGUAAAUAAUAAAAAAACUAAACAAGAAAAUAAAGUCUUAAGCUUAUUUUUAACUUUAAAAAAUAAAAAGAUUACUCAAACAACAUAUUCAGUGAAUUACUAAUCUAUGACUUCUUGACAAAUGUCCAUGGUAAGACAAUACUACUGUAUUAUUAAGACAAGCCCUACUUUUUAACUAAUACUUAGAUUCAAAUACUGUGACUACUUUAAGACUGGAUAAGGGCUAGGCAAAUUUUAUGUGAGAGAUUAACUCUUCUACUAUUUAGGAAAAAAACAAAGUUAAAAAUUAGUCACUAGUUCAGCCUUCUCAUUAACAUUAUUUUUGCUCUCUGGCAACUCAUUAAGGAGUAAUAGUAAAGGAAUAUCUUUUGUAUAGUGCUCUGAAGGUAAAGAUGUACCCAUGGAAAAGCAGUUUUAGAGACACACAUGACAGGAACUCAGGCAGGUCAUACACAUUCUUCCAGUCUUUCCAAAUCUUAGAGAAAAUUGAUCAAGACUUAUACUUUACUAAGAGAAAGAAAGGCCUGUUAAAAAGAUUUGAGAUAAAUACAUGAAGAAUGACUAGUUCUUUCCUAAGCUAAACUGAAAGAAUUAGUGAAUACUUCAAAAGUAUUUGUUGAAAAUUAAUUAACAUAAAAUUGCUAGACCCUAAUACAAAAAAAAAGGGAUAAAGUCUUAACUUUCCCUGAAUUGUUCUACCCUUAAACCCAAACUAUUACAAGUCUUCCUCCUGCUCCUCUCCCAGGAUCACUUGGUUUGCAAUGACUUCAUCUUUGCCUCCAGUCACUCCUCUCAGCACUUCCCUCUAGUAACUUU